rnacentral:lncRNA from 1 species
UUUGAUGUUGGUGUGCUGUGCCUUUUUUUCGCCACACAUAGUGUUGUGUGUUUCUUCCAAACAACUCAACUUUGGUUUCAUCUGUCCACAGAAUAUUUUGCCAGUACUGCUGUCGAACAUCCAGGUGCUCUUGUGCAAACUGUAAACGUGUAGCAAUGUUUUGUUUGGACAGCAGUGGCUUCCUCUGUGGUAUCCUCCCAUGAAAUCCAGUCUUGUUUAGUGUUUUACGUAUUGUAGAUUCACUAACAGGGAUGUUAGCAUUUGCCAGUGACUUUUGUAAGUCUUUAGCUGACACUCUAGGAUUCUUCUUCACCUCAUUGAGCAGUCUGCGCUGUGCUCUUGCAGUCAUCUUUACAGGACGGCCACUCCUAAGGAGAGUAGCAGCAGUGCUGAACUUUCUCCAUUUAUAGCCAAUUUGUCUUAUCGUGGACUGAUGAACAGCAAGGCUUUUGGAGAUACUUUUAUAACCCUUUCCAGCUUUAUGCAAGUCAACAAUUCUUAAUCGUAGGUCUUCUGAGAGCUCUUUUGUGCGAGGCAUCAUUCACAUCAAGCAAUGCUUCUUGUGAAAAGCAAACCCAGAACUGGUGUGUGUUUUUUAUAGGGCAGGGCAGCUGUAACCAACACCUCCAAUCUCAUCUCAUUGAUUGGACUCCAGUUGGCUGACA